UGGUUUGAUACUUGAUAUUUAAUACUUGAUUAUUGAUCUUGGGAGCUGAGCGCACGACGAGGUGAAUCGGUGAAAAUGAGUAACGAAAUCGAAUCCUUAGCACAGGCGACAGACGGGCCGGUGCAGUUGAAGGACAAUUACAAAUUAUAACCGAACCGAAACGAUAUCAAAAUCAAUUGAACAGAACUGAAACUUAAGGUUCAGAUAGCAUACUAUAUAGGCGGUGUGUAGUACAGAUACUAGCCAAAAGUUAAAACGAGAGCUAAUUCGAAAUGAAAAUAGAACAGGCGCGUGUGUGAAAAGAAACGUUUACUAAAUCAUAAGUGGAAACAUAGACUUAGACAGACAAAGAGAGAGAGAGUUAGAGAGAGAGAUAUAGAGAUAGCGGAGACAGUAUAAUAGAAGAUUGACAGAUUUAAUUCACAGAGCGCGCGAAUAGCGAGUGUUUGUAUGUGUGUGUAGGUGAGAGAAAGAGAGGAGAGAGAGAGAGAUAGAAAAUAAGCUUGCGUCAGAUUUAUGUUUGUGAAAUUUGGGUACAUUUAUAUAGAAGUAUUGUAUCUAUAUCUAUAUACAGUUUAUCUCGUGUGGUUAUUGCAGUUGAACUCGUGCAGCAUGCGACAUGCCAAAUAAGAAAAUCAAAUUAGACAUUGUCCAAUUGGAUUUCGUAAGGCAAAUAAUAU